rnacentral:rRNA from 1 species
UAUUNGCACAAUGGGCNGAAAGCCUGNUGCAGCAACGCCGCGUGCGCGAAGAAGGUCUUCGGAUCGUAAAGCGCUUUUCUGGGAGAUGAGAAAGGACAGUAUCCCAGGAAUAAGUCUCGGCUAACUACGUGCCAGCAGCCGCGGUAAAACGUAGGAGGCGAGCGUUAUCCGGAUUCACCUGGGCGUAAAGCNCNGUGCAGGCGGUUUGGUAAGUUGGGCGUGAAAGCUCCCGGCUCAACUGGGAGAGGUCGUCCAAAACUACCAGACUAGAGAGCGAUAGAGGAAAAUGGAAUUCCCGGUGUAGUGGUGAAAUGCGUAGAUAUCGGGAGGAACACCAGUGGCCGAAGGCGAUUUUCUGGAUCGUUUCUGACGCUCAGACGCGAAAGCUAGGGUAGCAAACGGGAUUAGAGACCCCGGUAGUCCUAGCUGUAAACGAUGUGAACUUGGCGUUGGUGGCUUAAACACCAUCAGUGCCGCAGCUAACGCGAUAAGUUCACCGCCUGGGGACUACGGCCGCAAGGUUAAAACUCAAAAGAAUUGACGGA